UACAGAGGGUGCGAGCGUUAAUCGGAAUUACUGGGCGUAAAGCGCACGUAGUCGGCUUUGUAAGUCGGGUGUGAAAUCCCCGGGCUCAACCUGGGAACUGCAUCCGAGACUGCAUUGCUAGAGUAUGGGAGAGGGAAGCGGAAUUUCUGGUGUAGCAGUGAAAUGCGUAGAUAUCAGAAGGAACAUCAGUGGCGAAGUCGGCUUCCUGGACCAAUACUGACGAUCAGGUGCGAAAGCGUGGGGAGCAAACAGG
rnacentral:rRNA from 1 species